rnacentral:rRNA from 1 species
CCGACGGUGAGAGGUGAAAGCUGGGGGAGCAAACCGGAUUAGAUACCCGGGUAGUCCCAGCUGUAAACGAUGCGCGUUAGGUGUGUCAGUGACCACGUGUCACUGAUGUGCCGAAGGGAAACCGUGAAACGCGCCGCCUGGGGAGUACGGUCGCAAGGCUGCAACUUAAAGGAAUUGGCGGGGGAGCACCACAACGGGUGGAGCCUGCGGUUUAAUCGGACUCAACGCCGGAAAUCUCACCGGAUAA